rnacentral:rRNA from 1 species
CGGGGGGGCAAGCGUUGUUCGGAAUUACUGGGCGUAAAGGGCUCGUAGGUGGCCAACUAAGUCAGACGUGAAAUCCCUCGGCUUAACCGGGGAAUGGCGUCUGAUACUGGAUGGCUUGAGUUCGGGAGAGGGAUGCGGAAUUCCAGGUGUAGCGGUGAAAUGCGUAGAUAUCUGGAGGAACACCGGUGGCGAAGGCGGCAUCCUGGACCGAGACUGACACUGAGGAGCGAAAGCCAGGGGAGCAAACGGGAUUAGAUACCCCGGUAGUCCUGGCCCUAAACGAUGAAUGCUUGGUGUGGCGGGUACCGAUCCCUGCCGUGCCGAAGCUAACGCAUUAAGCAUUCCGCCUGGGGAGUACGGUCGCAAGGCUG